GCGGGAUUAGUAUAGUGGUAGUACAUUACCCUUCCAAGGUGAAAGCGCCAGUUCGACUCUGGUAUCCCGCU
rnacentral:tRNA from 1 species